rnacentral:tRNA from 1 species
AGGGGCGCAUGUUCCUCGGUGGCGAUGCGGUCUCCAAAACCGCGUGGUCAGGUUCGAUCCCUGUCGCCCCUG